rnacentral:rRNA from 1 species
UAGCGGAGGAAAAGAAACCAACAGGGAUUGCCUCAGUAACGGCGAGUGAAGCGGCAAAAGCUCAAAUUUGAAAUCUAGCACCUUCGGUGUUCGAGUUGUAAUUUGAAGAUGGUAACCUUGGGUUUGGCUCUUGUCUAUGUUCCUUGGAACAGGACGUCAUAGAGGGUGAGAAUCCCGUCUGAUGAGAUGCCCAUUCCUAUGUAAGGUGCUAUCGAAGAGUCGAGUUGUUUGGGAAUGCAGCUCUAAGUGGGUGGUAAAUUCCAUCUAAAGCUAAAUAUUGGCGAGAGACCGAUAGCGAACAAGUACAGUGAUGGAAAGAUGAAAAGAACUUUGAAAAGAGAGUGAAAAAGUACGUGAAAUUGUUGAAAGGGAAGGGCAUUAGAUCAGACUUGGUGUUUUACGAUUAUCUUCUCUUCUUGAGUUGUGCACUCGUAUUUCACUGGGCCAGCAUCGAUUCGGAUGGCAAGAUAAUGGCAGUUGAAUGUGGCUUCACUUCGGUGGAGUGUUAUAGCUUCUGCUGAUAUUGCCUGUCUGGAUCGAGGGCUGCGUCUUUGA